CCUACGGGAUUCAGCCGUUUUUACUAUUUCCCCCUUUUCUCCCUCCUGCUGCCGCGCCGCCGCGUGCGGGAUGGAGGCCUUCGGGUUGUAAACCGCUUUUGUUCAAGGGCAAGGCACGGUCUUUGGCCGUGUUGAGUGGAUUGUUCGAAUAAGCACCGGCUAACUACGUGCCAGCAGCCGCGGUAAUACGUAGGGUGCAAGCGUUAUCCGGAUUUAUUGGGCGUAAGGGGCUCGUAGGCGGUUCGUCGCGUCCGGUGUGAAAGUCCAUCGCUUAACGGUGGAUCCGCGCCGGGUACGGGCGGGCUUGAGUGCGGUAGGGGAGACUGGAAUUCCCGGUGUAACGGUGGAAUGUGUAGAUAUCGGGAAGAACACCAAUGGCGAAGGCAGGUCUCUGGGCCGUUACUGACGCUGAGGAGCGAAAGCGUGGGGAGCGAACAGGAUUAGAUACCCGUGUAGUC
rnacentral:rRNA from 1 species